rnacentral:rRNA from 1 species
AGAGUUUGAUCCUGGCUCAGGAUGAACGCUAGCGACAGGCCUAACACAUGCAAGUCGAGGGGCAGCGAAGAGGUAGCAAUACCUUUGUCGGCGACCGGCGCACGGGUGAGUAACACGUAUGCAAUCCACCUGUAACAGGGGGAUAACCCGGAGAAAUCCGGACUAAUACCCCAUAAUAUGGGCGCUCCGCAUGGAGGGCUCAUUAAAGAGAGCAAUUUUGGUUACAGACGAGCAUGCGCUCCAUUAGCCAGUUGGCGGGGUAACGGCCCACCAAAGCGACGAUGGAUAGGGGUUCUGAGAGGAAGGUCCCCCACAUUGGAACUGAGACACGGUCCAAACUCCUACGGGAGGCAGCAGUGAGGAAUAUUGGUCAAUGGUCGGCAGACUGAACCAGCCAAGUCGCGUGAGGGAAGACGGCCCUACGGGUUGUAAACCUCUUUUGUCGGAGAGUAAAGUACGCUACGUGUAGUGUAUUGCAAGUAUCCGAAGAAAAAGCAUCGGCUAACUCCGUGCCAGCAGCCGCGGUAAUACGGAGGAUGCAAGCGUUAUCCGGAUUUAUUGGGUUUAAAGGGUGCGUAGGCGGCACGCCAAGUCAGCGGUGAAAUUUCCGGGCUCAACCCGGACUGUGCCGUUGAAACUGGCGAGCUAGAGUGCACAAGAGGCAGGCGGAAUGCGUGGUGUAGCGGUGAAAUGCAUAGAUAUCACGCAGAACCCCGAUUGCGAAGGCAGCCUGCUAGGGUGCGACAGACGCUGAGGCACGAAAGCGUGGGUAUCGAACAGGAUUAGAUACCCUGGUAGUCCACGCAGUAAACGAUGAAUACUAACUGUUUGCGAUACAAUGUAAGCGGUACAGCGAAAGCGUUAAGUAUUCCACCUGGGGAGUACGCCGGCAACGGUGAAACUCAA